UACAGAGGGUGCGAGCGUUGUCCGGAAUCACUGGGCGUAAAGGGCGCGUAGGCGGUCGGAUAAGCGUGCGGUGAAAGCCCGGGGCUCAACCCCGGGUCGGCCGUGCGGACUGUUCGACUGGAGCACUGUAGAGGCAGGCGGAAUUCCGGGUGUAGCGGUGGAAUGCGUAGAGAUCAGGAAGAACAUCGGUGGCGAAGGCGCUCUGCUGGACCAUAACUGACACUCAGGGACGAAAGCUAGGGGAGCGAAUGGG
rnacentral:rRNA from 1 species